AUUGAACGCUGGCGGCAGGCCUAACACAUGCAAGUCGAGCGGAUGAAGGGAGCUUGCUCCUGGAUUCAGCGGCGGACGGGUGAGUAAUGCCUAGGAAUCUGCCUGGUAGUGGGGGAUAACGUCCGGAAACGGGCGCUAAUACCGCAUACGUCCUGAGGGAGAAAGUGGGGGAUCUUCGGACCUCACGCUAUCAGAUGAGCCUAGGUCGGAUUAGCUAGUUGGUGGGGUAAAGGCCUACCAAGGCGACGAUCCGUAACUGGUCUGAGAGGAUGAUCAGUCACACUGGAACUGAGACACGGGCCAGACUCCUACGGGAGGCAGCAGUGGGGAAUAUUGGACGAUGGGCGAAAGCCUGAUCCAGCCAUGCCGCGUGUGUGAAGAAGGUCUUCGGAUGGUAAAGCACUUUAAGUUGGGAGGAAGGGCAGUAAGUUAAUACCUUGCUGUUUUGACGUUACCAACAGAAUAAGCACCGGCUAACUUCGUG
rnacentral:rRNA from 1 species